rnacentral:rRNA from 1 species
AAUCCAUAGGUUAAUGAGGCGAACCGGGGGAACUGAAACAUCUAAGUACCCCGAGGAAAAGAAAUCAACCGAGAUUCCCCCAGUAGCGGCGAGCGAACGGGGAGGAGCCCAGAGCCUGAAUCAGCAUGUGUGUUAGUGGAAGCGUCUGGAAAGGCGCGCGAUACAGGGUGACAGCCCCGUACACAAAAGCGCAUGUGCUGUGAGCUCGAUGAGUAGGGCGGGACACGUGGUAUCCUGUCUGAAUAUGGGGGGACCAUCCUCCAAGGCUAAAUACUCCUGACUGACCGAUAGUGAACCAGUACCGUGAGGGAAAGGCGAAAAGAACCCCGGCGAGGGGAGUGAAAAAGAACCUGAAACCGUGUACGUACAAGCAGUGGGAGCACCCUUUGGGUGUGACUGCGUACCUUUUGUAUAAUGGGUCAGCGACUUAUAUUCUGUAGCAAGGUUAACCGAAUAGGGGAGCCGGAGGGAAACCGAGUCUUAACCGGGCGUUAAGUUGCAGGGUAUAGACCCGAAACCCGGUGAUCUAGCCAUGGGCAGGUUGAAGGUUGGGUAACACUAACUGGAGGACCGAACCGACUAAUGUUGAAAAAUUAGCGGAUGACCUGUGGCUGGGGGUGAAAGGCCAAUCAAACCGGGA